rnacentral:tRNA from 1 species
GUGGCUCAGCGGUUAAGAGCACUGGCUGUUCUUUCAGUGGCCCUGGGUUCAAUUCCCAGC